GAUGAACGCUGGCGGCGUGCCUAAUACAUGCAAGUCGAGCGAACAGACGAGGAGCUUGCUCCUUUGACGUUAGCGGCGGACGGGUGAGUAACACGUGGGUAACCUACCUAUAAGACUGGGAUAACUUCGGGAAACCGGAGCUAAUACCGGAUAAUAUUUCGAACCGCAUGGUUCGAUAGUGAAAGAUGGCUUUGCUAUCACUUAUAGAUGGACCUGCGCCGUAUUAGCUAGUUGGUAAGGUAACGGCUUACCAAGGCAACGAUACGUAGCCGACCUGAGGGGGUGAUCGGCCACACUGGAACUGAGACACGGUCCAGACUCCUACGGGAGGCAGCAGUAGGGAAUCUUCCGCAAUGGGCGAAAGCCUGACGGAGCAACGCCGCGUGAGUGAUGAAGGUCUUCGGAUCGUAAAACUCUGUUAUUAGGGAAGAAUAAACGUGUAAGUAACUGUGCACGUCUUGACGGUACCUAAUCAGAAAGCCACGGCUAACUACGUG
rnacentral:rRNA from 1 species